rnacentral:rRNA from 1 species
UGAGUGCGAGCUGCUACGGCAGCGAAGUUGGUGAUGUCAAGCUUCCAAGAAAAGCCCUAUACCCGUUAAGGCAUGAUUGCCUGUACCCGAAACCGACACAGGUGGGGUGGUAGAGAAUACCGAGGGGCGCGAGGUAACUCUCUCUAAGGAACUCGGCAAAAUGACCCCGUAACUUCGGGAGAAGGGGUGCCACCGCAAGGUGGUCGCAGUGAAUAGGCCCAGGCGACUGUUUACCAAAAACACAGGUCUCCGCUAAGUCGCAAGACGAUGUAUGGGGGCUGACGCCUGCUCAGUGCCGGAAGGUUAAGGAAGUUGGUCAGCGAAAGCGAAGCUAGCGACUGAAGCCCCGGUGAACGGCGGCCGUAACUAUAACGGUCCUAAGGUAGCGAAAUUCCUUAUCGGGUAAGUUCCGACCCGCACGAAAGGCGUAACGAUCUGGGCGCUGUCUCGGAGAGAGGCUCGGCGAAAUAGAAUUGUCUGUGAAGAUGCGGACUACGUGCACCUGGACAGAAAGACCCUAUGAAGCUUUACUGUAGCUUGGUAUUGUGUCCGGGCUCUGAAUGCGCAGGAUAGGUGGGAGGCUUUGAUCCAUUGCUUGCGGGUGAUGGUGAGCCAACGGUGAGAUACCACUCUUUCAGAGCUAGGAUUCUAACGGUCACCCGUCAUCCGGGGACCGGACAGUAUCUGGUGGGCAGUUUGACUGGGGCGGUCGCCUCCUAAAAGGUAACGGAGGCGCGCAAAGGUCUGCUCAGGCUGGUUGGAAAUCAGCCGACGAGUGCAAAAGCAGAAGCAGGCUUGACUGUGAGACCUACAAGUCGAACAGGGGGGAAACCCGGCUUUAGUGAUCCGACGGUUCUGAGUGGAAGGGCCGUCGCUCAACGGAUAAAAGUUACUCUAGGAUAACAGGCUGAUCUCCCCCAAGAGUUCACAUCGACGGGGAGGUUUGGCACCUCGAUGUCGGCUCAUCGCAACCUGGGGCUGAAGUCGGUCCCAAGGGUUGGGCUGUUCGCCCAUUAAAGCGGUACGCGAGCUGGGUUCAGAACGUCGUGAGACAGUUCGGUCCAUAUCCGGUGCAUGCGCAGGAAUAUUGAGAGGAUUUCUCCCUAGUACGAGAGGACCGGGAGGAACGCACCUCUGGUGUACCAGUUAUCGUGCCAACGGUAAACGCUGGGUAGCCAUGUGCGGAGUGGAUAACCGCUGAAAGCAUCUAAGUGGGAAGCCCACCUCAAGAUGAGUAUUCCCAUGGCGUUAGCCAGUAAGGUCACGGGCAGAACACCUGUUGAUAGGCUCUACGUGGAAGCGCAGUAAUGUGUGAAGCGGAGGAGUACUAAUAGACCGAGGGCUUGACC